ACGUCCCACGCGAAGGCUCUUUUCUGUAUUAUGAAGAGAAAAUGAAUGUUCUUGUGGAACCUGAUGUGCAUGACAUGUUUGCUAGAAUCCCAGGGUUCUGAUUUAUUCAGACCUUUUAUAGUCAAGACACCAGUGAUCUACAUGAAAGGGUUGAUUUUGUGGCUUGCUUGAGGGGAGAUAGGGUUAUACUACAUGCAUCAAAUUUAUUUAGAGGUGCUGUGCCCCCUGUUGUAUCAUUUAAUCUUGGAUCUCUUGGAUUUCUGACUUCCCAUACCUUUGAUGACUAUAAACAAGACUUAAGACAAAUCAUCCAUGGAAAUAACACUGUGGAUGUUGUCUAUAUAACUCUUAGAAUGCGCCUUUGAUGUGAAAUUUUUCGAAAUGGUAAAGCAAUGCCUGGGAAAGUAUUUGAUGUCCUAAAUGAGGUCAUUGUUGAUUGGGGUUCUAAUCCAUACCUCUCUAAAAUUGAAUGCUAUGAACAUGACAGGCUCAUAACCAAGGUGCAAGGUGAUGGAGUCAUUGUAGCCACACCAACAGCAAGUACUGCUUACUCUACAGCUGCAGGUGGUUCCAUGGUGCAUCCAAAUGUUCCUUGCAUGCUGUUUACACCAAUCUGCCCCCACUCCCUCUCAUUUAAACCAGUUAUACUUACGGAUUCGGCAAGGUUGGAAAUGAAGGUGAUGUUAUUAAUGAUCUAGUGACCAG